rnacentral:rRNA from 1 species
UGGUCUGAGAGGAUGAUCACCCACACUGGGACUGAGACACGGCCCAAACUCCUACGGGAGGCAGCAGUGGGGAAUAUUGGACAAUGGGCGAAAGCCUGAUCCAGCCAUGCCGCGUGUGUGAAGAAGGCUUUCGGGUUGUAAAGCACUUUCAGCGAGGAAGAAAGCCUCUGGGUUAAUACCCCAGAGGAAGGACAUCACUCGCAGAAGAAGCACCGGCUAACUCCGUGCCAGCAGCCGCGGUAAUACGGAGGGUGCGAGCGUUAAUCGGAAUUACUGGGCGUAAAGCGCGCGUAGGUGGCUUGGCACGCCGGUUGUGAAAGCCCCGGGCUCAACCUGGGAACUGCAUCCGGAACGGCCAGGCUAGAGUGCAGGAGAGGAAGGUAGAAUUCCCGGUGUAGCGGUGAAAUGCGUAGAGAUCGGGAGGAAUACCAGUGGCGAAGGCGGCCUUCUGGCCUGACACUGACACUGAGGUGCGAAAGCGUGCGUAGCAAACAGGAUUAGAUACCCUGGUAGUCCACGCCGUAAACGAUGUCUACUAGCCGUUGGGACCUUUAAGGACUUAGUGGCGCAGUUAACGCGAUAAGUCGACCGCCUGGGGAGUACGGCCGCAAGGUUAAAACUCAAAUGAAUUGACGGGGG